CCUACGGGAGGCAGCAGUAGGGAAUAUUGCUCAAUGGGGGAAACCCUGAAGCAGCAACGCCGCGUGGAGGAUGAAGGUUUUCGGAUUGUAAACUCCUUUUGUUAGAGAAGAUAAUGACGGUAUCUAACGAAUAAGCACCGGCUAACUACGUUCCAGCAGCCGCGGUAAUACGGCGGGUGCAAGCGUUACUCGGAAUCACUGGGCGUAAAGAGAGCGUAGGCGGGAUAGCAAGUCAGAUGUGAAAUCCUAUGGCUUAACCAUAGAACUGCAUUGGGAACUGUUAUUCUAGAGUAUGGGGGAGGUAGGUGGAAUUCGUGGUGUAGGGGUAAAAUCCGUAGAGAUCAAGAGGAAUACUCAUUGCGAAGGCGACCUACUAGAACAUAACUGACGCUGAGGCGCGAAGGCGUGGGGAGCGAACAGGAUUAGAUACCCGGGUAGUC
rnacentral:rRNA from 1 species